UACAGGGGGGGCAAGCGUUGUUCGGAAUUACUGGGCGUAAAGGGCCCGUAGGCGGCCAACUAAGUCCGACGUGAAAUCCCCAGGCUUAACCUGGGAACUGCGUCGGAUACUGGAUGGCUUGAAUUCGGGAGAGGGAUGCAGAAUUCCAGGUGUAGCGGUGAAAUGCGUAGAUAUCUGGAGGAAUACCGGUGGCGAAGGCGGCAUCCUGGACCGGCAUUGACGCUGAGGAGCGAAAGCCAGGGGAGCAAACGGG
rnacentral:rRNA from 1 species